rnacentral:lncRNA from 1 species
AUUUUACCCCUUAUAUCAAUUUUAAAGGACUAUUCUAUCCCUUUUUUAUAUAAAAAAAAAAUUUGGGGUUAUUACAUUAUAGCUCUGGGUCGGAAGAGGGGAGAGUGGUGUCAGGUGGUUGUAACUGCCUCAGCUGGCGAUCAGCGUCUCUAGGUCUCCAGAUGGGCCAGCCAUGUUGGGCUUGGCCCAUUAGCCCACUGUAUGUGGGCUGGUUCUCACAUUCUUCCCUCCUUAAAAUAAAAUUUCGUCCUCAAAAUUUAUAUAUCUUAAUUCUUAAACAAAUGAAGUUACUUAGUCGUUUAUCUAACAUUCUACCAUGUUUCCGCUGCACUCUCUGAUUUAAAACACUAAAAU